rnacentral:lncRNA from 1 species
GUGUCCUGCCCCGCCCGGCCCCGCCUCCCCCCGCCGCCGCUCCGCCUCCGGGGCACCGGCGUGCGCCCGCUGCCCGCCCCGCCCGGGACGCCGCUCCUCGGCUCGGCUCAGCUCGGUGGGCGCUGGAUGCCGCCCCGGAGAGGCCGGCACCGGGGCCACCUCACGGUGCGUGGGAUGAAGGGAGCCUGACGCCCGCCCGGAGAGGAGACCCACGGAGUUGCCCACCAUGAGCCGGACGCUGCUGACGGGCAGGAUGCAGCCGGAGAGCCGGAACGUCUGCGUCUUCCUGCCCACCCGGGAGCAGCUCAGCCUGGCCGUCGGGGUCAAAGCCACUGGACAGGAGCUCUUUCAGCAAGUUUGUGAUUUAGUGAAGAUUAAAGAGCCUCACUUCUUUGGCCUCAGCAUUGUUAAAAGUAAGCAAACUCAUUGCACGGAGCAAAUGACUUGGCAAAUGUCCACAGACCCGCUUGUGUAUUUACAGUGUGUGCAUAUAUACACAGCGGCCCUGCCUGGGGGG